rnacentral:rRNA from 1 species
GAUGAACGCUGGCGGCGUGCCUAAUACAUGCAAGUCGAGCGAACAGAUGAGGAGCUUGCUCCUCUGACGUUAGCGGCGGACGGGUGAGUAACACGUGGAUAACCUACCUAUAAGACUGGGAUAACUUCGGGAAACCGGAGCUAAUACCGGAUAAUAUAUUGAACCGCAUGGUUCAAUAGUGAAAGACGGUUUUGCUGUCACUUAUAGAUGGAUCCGCGCCGCAUUAGCUAGUUGGUAAGGUAACGGCUUACCAAGGCAACGAUGCGUAGCCGACCUGAGAGGGAGGUCGCCCACACUGGAACUGAGACACGGUCCAGACUCCUACGGUAGGCAGCAGUACGGAAUCCUCCGGAAGGGGCGAGAGCCUGACGUAGCAACGCCGCGUGAGUGAUGAAGGUCUUCGGAUCGUAAAGCUCUGUUAUUAGUAAAGUACAAAUGUGUAAUUAACUGUGCACAUCUUGACGGUACCUAAUCAGAAAGCCCCGGCUAACUACGUG